UGUUUUCUUCUAUUGUAUCUGAUUUUGUCUCUUUCAGUUGUAGGCACUCUUCAACAUGUCAGAUCUUUGGCUAUCUCUAUUCACUUUAAGACUGAAGCACCGAAAACUACCAGGAAGCUCCAGAGCAUGUGGAUAUGGGUAUGUGGACAGAGCCAUCAACUGACUGGCUUUUCUUUAGGAUUUUCAACACUGAGCCAAAAUUUUUGGAGGGAUAGAUGCAAAUAUCAAUUCUCUGGUUAUCUGGGAUGGGGAAGAGAUCUGGUUCCCUACACACUAUAUGCAGACUUUCACACAGUGGCUCUUGCUUUCUGAUCAGAGUCUCAUGCCUUUUUCUCAGUGGAGUCUCCAAAUCCUAAAUCUCUCAAGAGUCUGUGGUUCUACUCAAUGCCAGAGUUUUCUAUGACAGACCCUUAAGUUAUAGUCUGCUCCUUCCUGCAAAGCUGGUGACCACUAUUUCAUCUGCUUUCCAUCCUCCAAAAGCUCAUUUAAAUGUCAUGUCUGUUGUUGCCCUCCUGUUCUCUAUGUUCUUGGGUCCAUUUUUACUCCUUUAUUGUCAUUUUGGCAAAAUUUUGGUAGAGCCACACCUGUGGCCAAUCAACACUUUAAGACUAAAACUCAUCACAUGAGAACUGAAAACACUGAUCCUCAAGAAAGAAAGCAAUUAGGGACUUGAUUUCUUUCUCUCAGAAAGCUUCUUGCCACCUACACAAAUGUGUCUACUUAACUUUCUCAGAGAAAUAAUUUCUCUAGGCCAAAAGCUCUGAGUGGGUAGACAUUAACAACUAAAAGACAUAUCCUGUUAUACUGACAAGUGGAGGGGCUUAGGAGGGGAGAGAGGGAGAAAAUGAAAUGUGGCAAGCAUUGAAAGAAAGGGAGCCGAGGAGGCAAUGAGAGAUUGCAUAGCCUAGAGGAGAUGAGAGGAACAAAGAAUUCCAUGCCACUUUAUGCAGCAAAGCUCUGCUACUUUCCAUUCUUAAUAACACAUCUUAACUUACAUUUAUAUUAUUUUACACCUGGACUGUUACAAGUGUCUCCCAACAGAUAGUCCUCCUGUUCCUCUUGGCUCCCAUAAAUCCAUCACCAUAUGGUUACGUCACACUCUUGUUUAAAAUCCUUUACUGGCUCUCAUUGACCUCAGCAUGAGGGCCUAGUCACGUCUGACACACAAAGUCUUCUGUUACCUGGCCUCUGUUUGCCUCUCCAGCCUCAUCUUUCUCUACUUCCUGCCAUGUAGUUUUUCCCUUCAAUCUUCUUGUGUUCUCCCUUCAACCUGCAAUUCCCCUUGCUUGCUUAGUGCCUGGUCAUUCUCUAAGAUGCUCAGACAUUGCUCACUGACCUCAGAAAGUCCCACCACCACCUCUUCCUCUGUGUUAGGUGUUCCUCACUGGGCUUUCAUAAAAACCUAUGCUUCUACAUCCACAUUUGUUUGUGUAUGUGUGUGAGUGCAUAGGUGUGCACAUGUGUUUAAAUAGUUAUCUGUUUACUAUGUGCUCCCUAGUCUAACAUUCUCAAGGGAAAAAAAACCCAAAAACCUGCAUCUUUGAUCUCUGAAACUCUAUCACAUAAUACCUUGCACAUAAUAGGCACAGUACUGAAUGAAUUAAUGAAUGAUUGAGCAAAUGAAUGAAUUAAUUUCAGAAGGAGUCAUCUGGAUGGGGUAACUUAAAAAGCUUUCAGAGUUCCCACUGUGGUUUAGUGGUAAUGAACCUGACUAGUAUCCAUGAGGACAUGAGUUCAAUCCCUAGCCCCCCUCAGUGGAUUGAAGAUUUGGCAUUGCCAUGAGCUGCAGUGUAGGUCACAGACACAGCUCAGAUCUGGUAUUGGAAUAGCUGUGGCACAGGUAGCUGCAGCUCCAAUUCAACCCCUAACCUGGGAACCUCCAUAUGCCACAGUGCAGCCCUAAAAAGACCAAAAAAAAAGUUUCAAUCAGGGGGCUGUUCUAGAGUCAAUUCUGAAGGACCUCACUGAAUAAAUAAAAAAAUAUGUUGUCAUACCUCCCUCCAAAAUAAAUUUCUGAUGGAUCAAAGACUUAAUUUUGAAAGAGAGAAAGAGCCAUGACAAUACCAGAAGAAAGCCUGUGAGAAUGUUAUAUUUUAGAGUGGAGAAUGUUUUUCUAAUGAGAAAAUUUAAAGAACUGCGGUUUCAACUACAUAUUUCUUUAACUACAUGAAAAAAACAUCCCAUGAACCAAGUCAAAUGACUAGCUGCAAAGACUAUUUAUAACAUGUAUAAGAAAGGGCUAAUUUCCUUAUUAAAUAUAAAGGGUCACUAUAAUGAGAAGACUUAUAAUCCAAUAGAGAAAUGAGCAAAGGCCAAGAACAGAGAGCCCACAUAUAAGGAAAUACAAAGGAAAUUUAGAUGAUUUUAAAGGUGCCCAAUUUUAUUUACAGUAAGAAAAAUAGACUAAAUAUUUGGGGAUUCCAUCCUCACUUGGAUCAGCAAAGAUUAAUCUGGUUUGCAAGGAUGGGAUGAAACAGGCAUUCUUACACAUUGUUGGUAGGGGAUGUAAAUUGAUACAAAUUUUGAAAAGGACACUUUGCCAGUAUGUAUUAAAAGUGAAAACGCACAUGCUUUUGAUCUGGCAUUUGUACUUCUAGGUGUACCUUACAUCUAGGAGUAUAAAUUUAGAUGUACUGGGCUAUCUAUUGCAUUAAUUAACAAAUAUUAAGUGCAUGUUAUGUGUAAAACUUUGUCUAAGGGUUAGAGGUUAUAAUGGUGAGCAAAACAGAGAAAGAUCAAGAUGGCAGGAGAGUAAGACAUCACACUCACCUUCUCCCACAAACACAUAAAAAAAAAACCAUAUUUACAUGUAAAAUCAUAAACACAGAACAUCUACUGAAUGCUGGUAGAACUUAAACCUCCAAAAAGGGCAAGAAACCCUCCACAUAACCGGGUAGAACAAAAGAAAAAGAGAGAGAGAAGAAUCAGGACGGGACUAGCACUCUGAGAGGGAGCUGUUAAAGAGGAAAAGAACCCACAACCUGGGAAGCCACCUUAUUGACAGGGAGAUCAGCUGAGAUGGAAGGACUUCAAAGUCACUGAGAAAAGCACAGCAGCUGGACUGAGGAGGACAAAGCAGAGUGAGAGCUGCACAGAUCAUCUGCACCACUGCCCCGGAUAUUACAGCCUGAGACGCUCGGGGGUGGGGGCUGGAUGUGGAGACUCAGGCUCUGGAGGUCAGUUCCAGGGAAAGGACUAUGGUUGGCUGUGUGGAGACAGCCUGAGGGUCUAGGGAGUGGUGUGCCAUGGGUUAGCAAAUGGAACACCACAGCCAAGGGAACCUGGGAGAUGGGCUGGGCCUGUAGGAGAAGCAAGCUGCCAUUGUUGGGGAGGGUGAGAGGAGGAGGGGAGGACCGCCAUAGGAAUCUCUUUCCCUGUGCAUGUGCAGGCUCUCAGAGGGCAGGGUGCCUCUGGUGAGGCUAAGGGUGGCAAAAGGGCACUUGCUUGGGCUGCAGGAGACCUGGCACCUCUUCUUUGGGGUAUGGGUGGCUGGGUACCUCUUAUGUGGGCUAAGGGCAGUUGGGGAGUAAGUGUGACAUGGUGCCUUUUGUGUGAUCUACAGGUGGUGGGAAUAAACCAUAGCAGUCAUCUCAGAAACUGGAGGGGGGCAUGGCCUGCCACCACUAGGGGUCUGUGAACAGGCUCCACCUGCCACCCUAGUCACUUUAGAGGAUGGCAAAAAGGGCACUGCAACAGAGCACCACCCAAUGUUGCUCUCACUCCCCUGGGAACAUACCUGCCCUGCUGCUGCCACCACCAAAAGUUCCAGGCAGUGCCCACACAUGCCUGAUCACUGUAACUUCCCAGGACCCUGCAACUAGGAGCAGGCUAUGCAGCACCUCCUGCAUGGGCUAAGUGGGACAGAGUGAUUCUUCCAUGGUUUCCAUGGUGGUGAGGGCAAACCGCUACAGCUUUCUCUGAGUCCAGAGGUGGGCAUGACCUGCCACCACUAGGGGUCCGUGAACAGGUACCACUUGUGGCCCCGGUUACCUCAGAGGGCAACAGAGAUGAGGACAUUGCAACCAGACACCACCCAUUAUUGCUCUCCCUCCCCUGGGAACUCACACACCCUUCUGCUACCACUGCCAAAUGCUCUGGGCAUCACCUAAAUCUGCCUGAGUCUCAUUACCACUUCCCAGGGCCCUGCAACUAGGAGUAGUCUGCACCACCCUACCCAUUGCCUCCUUCUUCUUGGAAACACACUCAGCACCCUGGGGCCGACAGCCUGCUCACACAAAAGAAAGAGACAGCAAAUAUCCAAACUCCCAUGCCAAAAAUUAAUAAUAACCCCCUGCAGAAUACAAAGGGCUGCUCUUGCAUAGAAAUAGCCCUCCAAGACUACAGUAGUUGCUUUCAGUAAACUCACAGAAUAAGAAAAAUAUAAGCAAAUGAAGAAGCUCAGGAACCAUUCUCAGUUAAAAGAACAGGAGUAUUCACCUGAAGCAGCAAAUAAUGACACAGACCUCUGCAGUCUAACAGACACUGAAUUCAAAAAGGAGAUAAUGAAAAUACUGAAGGAAUUAAGGGUGCAUAUGAAGGAAUUAGGAGCAGAUGUAAACAGUAAUGCAGAUUACUUUAGACAGGAACUAGAAAAUAUAAGGAGGAGCCAAGAAAAAUUGGAAAAUUCAUUUGCAGAGAUGCAAACUGAGCUAAAGGCACCAAAGAGCAGAAUGAAUAAUGCAGAGGAAAGAACAAGUGACUUGGAAGAUAGAAUAAUGGAAAUCACCCAAUCAGGAAAGCAGACAGAAAACCAAAUGAAAAAACAUGAAAGGAAUAUAAGAGGUCUAUGGGAUAAUAUAAAGUGGUAAUAAGGAUUCCAGAAGGAGUAGAAAAACAAAAGGGGAUUGAAAAUACAUUUGAGGGGAGUUCCUGUCAUGGCUCAGUGUUUAACAAAUCCAACUAGGAACCAUGAGGUUUGGGGUUCGAUCCCUGUCCUCGCUCAGUGGGUUAAGGAUCUGGCGUUGCCUUGAGCUGUGGCGUAGGUUGCAGAUGCGGCUCAGAUCCUGUGUUGCUGUGGCUCUGGCGAAAGCCGGUGGCCUUCUGAUUAGACCCCUAGCCCGGGAACCUGCAUAUGCCACGGAAGCGGCCCUGGAAAAGGCAAAAAAAAACCAAAACCAAAAACAAAAUAUAUUUGAGGAAAUUAUGGCUGAAAACUUUCCAAAUCUAAGGAAACAGAUAUCAAGAUACAGGAAGCACAGAGGGCCCCAAACAAGUUGAACCCAAAUAGGCCCACACCGAGACAUAUUAUAAUACAAAUGGCAAAAGUUAAAGAUAAAGAGAGGAUUGUAAAGGCAGCAAGAGAAAAAGCGUUAAUUAUAAGGGAACCCCCAUAAGGCUAUCAGCUGAUUUCUCUACAUUAACACUAUAGGGUAGAAGCGGCAAGAUAUAUUCAAAGUUCUAAAAGGGAAAAAUUUGCAGCCUAGAAUAGUCUCCCAGCAAGAAUAUCAUUUAAAAUAGAAGGAGAAAUAAAGAGUUUAUCCAACAAACAAAAACUAAAAGAGUACAGCAAUACUAAACCCAUUCUAAAAGAAAUACUGAAAGGGCUUUUCUAAAUAAAAAAAAAGAAUAGGAUGGAGGAAAUGACAAUUGGAAAGCAAUCAUUUAAAUAAGCCAGGAUACAGAUCUAAAAGGAAAAAAAAAAACCUAUUGUAAAAGUGACAAUAAACACAAGGAACAGUAAAAGGACAUACAUGAAGAUGUCAAAAAAGGACUUCAAAAUCAUAAAAUGUAGAGAAGGAAAAGUAAGAAAAUCUAGACUCUUUUAGAAUGUGUUUGAGCCUAUAUGACGAUCAGGCUAAAGCAAGCAGAUAUAGGAAGGGGUUAACAUACUUGAAAAACAGGGCAACUACAAAUCAAACCAAACAUUACAUUCACAAAAACUAAAAACAAAAGGGCACAAGCAUAAAACAAAAGGAAAUCAUCCAACCAAAAAAAAAGAAAGGAACAAAGGAGAAACAUAGAAUCACUGGAAAAAUAGGUUUAAAAUGGCAACAAAGACAUAUUUAUGAGUAAUUACCUUAAAUGUCAAUGGACUGAAUGCUCCAAUCAAAAGACAUAGAGUGGCAGAUUGGAUUAAAAAAGCAAGAGCCUACAUGCUGUUUACAAAAGACUCACCUUAGGGCAAAGAUACAUAUAAAUUGAAAGUGAGAGGAUGGGAAAAGAUACUUCAUGGCAAUGGAAAAGACAGGAAAGCAGGAGUUGCAAUACUCAUAUCAGGCAAAAUAGACUUUAAAACAAAGGCCAUAAAAAAUACAAAGAAGAACACUAUUUAAUUAUAAAAGGAUCCAGUCAAGAAAGGGGGUAUUACAAUUGUCAAUAUAUAUGCCCUCAUAUGGGAGCACCCAGAUACAUACAGCAAAUACCAGCAGACAUAAAAGAAGAAAUUAAUGUGAAUACAAUAAUAGUAGGAGACUCUAACACUUCACUCACAUUUACUGACAGAUCCUCUAGACAGAAAAUCAAUAAGGCAACAGAGAUCCUAAAGGACACAAUAGAAAAGUUAGACUUAGUUGACAUUUUCAGGACGUUAUAUCUAAAAAAAUCAGAAUAUACUUUCUUUUCAAGUGCAUAUGGAAUAUUCUCGAGAAUUGACCACAUACUGGGGCAUAAACUAAUCUUUUUUUUUUUUUUUUUUUUUUUUUUUGUCUUGUCUUGUCUUUUCUAGGGCCGCACCUGCAUCAUAUGGAGGUUCCCAGGCUAGGGGUCUAAUCAGAGCUGUAGCCUCCAGCCUAUGCCAGAGCCACAGCAAUGCCAGAUCCAAGCCAGGUCUGUGACCUACACCACAGCUCACAGCAAUGCCAGAUCCUUACCCCACUGAGCAAGACCAGGGACCGAACCCCAAACCUCAUGGUUUAGUCGGAUUCGUUAACCACUGAGCCAUGACGGCAACUCCCACAAAAGUAAUCUUAACAAAUUUAAAAGUAUAGAUAUUAUUUCAAGUAACCACAAUGGCAUGAAAGUAGAAAUCAACUACGGGAAAAGAAAUGAGAAAAAACUGACUACAUGGAGACCAAACAACAUGCUACUAAAAAACCAAUGAAUCAAUGAGGAAGUCAAAAAGGAAAUUAAAAAAUACCUUGAGAUAAAUGAUAAUGAAAACACAACCAUUCAAAAUCUAUGGGAUGCCACAAAAAGCAGUGCCUAGAGGGAAAGUUCAUUUCAAGACAGGCCUUCCUCAAAAAAGAAUAAAAAUCUCAAAUCGACAACUUAACACACCACCUAGAAUUAGAAAAAGAAGAAAAAAAAAAAAA
rnacentral:lncRNA from 1 species